rnacentral:misc_RNA from 1 species
AACGCACCUUGCGCUCCUUGGUAUUCCGAGGAGCAUGCCUGUUUGAGUGUCUUGAAAUCAUCAACCCCUUCCGUUUCGUGCGGGACGUGGGUUGGAGCUGGGGGACCGCGGUCGCAAGGCCGCUCCCCUCAAAUGCGUCGGUUGGGCCUGCGGGUCGGACUCGGUUGGGCGUUGUACCAUCCUCGCUCCUCUCUGAGACCGUUUUCCCCGUCUACUUGUGUGCCCGCCUUCGACUGCCGACGCUAGCGGCGGUCAAGCAAACUUUGAAAUCUGACCUCAAAUCAGGUAGGACUACCCGCUGAACUUAA